AUUGAACGCUGGCGGCAGGCCUAACACAUGCAAGUCGAACGGUAACAGGAAACUUCUUGCUGUUUCGCUGACGAGUGGCGGACGUGUGAGUAAUGUCUCGGAAACUUCCUGAUGGAGGGGGUUCACUACUGGAAACGGUAGCUACUACCGCCUAACGUCGCAAAGCCAAAGAGCUGGACCUUCCGGCCUCUUGCCUUCGGCUGUGCCCAGUUGGGAUUAGCUAGUAGGUGGGGUAACGGCUCACCUAGGCGACGAUCCCUAGCUGGUCUGAGAGGAUGACCAGACACACUGGAACUGAGACACGGUCCAGACUCCUACGGGAGGCAGCAGUGGGGAAUAUUGCACAAUGGGCGCAAGCCUGAUGCAGCCAUGCCGCGUGUAUGAAGAAGGCCUUCGGGUUGUAAAGUACUUUCAGCGGGGAGGAAGGGAGUAAAGUUAAUACCUUGACGUAUUGACGUUACCAGCAGAAGAAGCACCGGCUAACUCCGUG
rnacentral:rRNA from 1 species